rnacentral:rRNA from 1 species
UACGGAGGGAGCUAGCGUUGUUCGGAAUUACUGGGCGUAAAGCGCACGUAGGCGGCUUUGUAAGUUAGAGGUGAAAGCCCGGAGCUCAACUCCGGAAUUGCCUUUAAGACUGCAUCGCUUGAAUCCAGGAGAGGUGAGUGGAAUUCCGAGUGUAGAGGUGAAAUUCGUAGAUAUUCGGAAGAACACCAGUGGCGAAGGCGGCGCACUGGACUGGUAUUGACGCUGAGGUGCGAAAGCGUGGGGAGCAAACAGG